rnacentral:rRNA from 1 species
GGCCGAUGGCGACCGGCGCACGGGUGAGUAACACGUAUCCAACCUGCCGUCUACUCUUGGACAGCCUUCUGAAAGGAAGAUUAAUACAAGAUGGCAUCAUGAGUCCGCAUGUUCACAUGAUUAAAGGUAUUCCGGUAGACGAUGGGGAUGCGUUCCAUUAGAUAGUAGGCGGGGUAACGGCCCACCUAGUCUUCGAUGGAUAGGGGUUCUGAGAGGAAGGUCCCCCACAUUGGAACUGAGACACGGUCCAAACUCCUACGGGAGGCAGCAGUGAGGAAUAUUGGUCAAUGGGCGAGAGCCUGAACCAGCCAAGUAGCGUGAAGGAUGACUGCCCUAUGGGUUGUAAACUUCUUUUAUAAAGGAAUAAAGUCGGGUAUGGAUACCCGUUUGCAUGUACUUUAUGAAUAAGGAUCGGCUAACUCCGUGCCAGCAGCCGCGGUAAUACGGAGGAUCCGAGCGUUAUCCGGAUUUAUUGGGUUUAAAGGGAGCGUAGGUGGAUGUUUAAGUCAGUUGUGAAAGUUUGCGGCUCAACCGUAAAAUUGCAGUUGAUACUGGAUAUCUUGAGUGCAGUUGAGGCAAGCGGAAUUCGU